CCACCGCUUUCCCCACUGCUCCUCCCCCUCUCCCCCCACUCCUUCACUUCCCCUCCCCUCCCCUCUCUUUUCUCCCUUCCACUACCAUUCCCCCUUGCUUUAAGGGAAACUUACCUUUCCUGCUCUUCACUGACUUCUUGAUUCUCGUGGCUUUGGCUGCUAUUUUGCCUUGCUUUGCUCUGCUGUGCUAUGCACUGCUUUCUCUGUAUUUCUUGCCAUCCACUCCUUCCUUCGAGUUAUUCUUUACUUUUUGACUUGGCUUUUUUCUUCUUUUCUCUUUACCUUUCUUCUCUUGUCAUUAUUCGUUUUUCCUUUUGUUUUUCUUUUUUCAUCUACUGUUUCUUUUCUUUUUUCUUUUUUUCAUAUUUUUCUGUCUCUUUUUAUUUCUAUUUUCUUUUUUCUUUCUCUUUUCUUUAUCUUUUUUCUUUUUUUAUCUUUUCUCUUUUUUCUCUUUUUUGUUCAUGUUCUUUUUUUCUUUUCUCUUUUUUCUCUUUUUUUCAUUUCUUUCUCUUUUUACUCUUUUUUGUUCAUUUUUUUUUUUUCUCUUUUUUUUUCUUUUUUUCAUAUUUUUUGUUCUUAUUUUUUCUUUUCUUUUUUCAUCAUAGGUUUGCCUUCAGCCCUCCCCUCAGCCCUUCCCUCCGCUCUGCUCUUCACCCAUCCCUCCCAUCCCCAUCCCUUCUUUCUCCCUUACCCCCCCCUUUCCCCUUGCCUUUGCCUCCCAUUACCUUGCCUGCCCUUCACUUACCUUCUCCUCACUUCCUGCUUCUUGAUGCUCUGGGCUUUUGCUGCUACUCACGCCAAACCUCAACACUUGCCUACUCUGCUUGCUGCUCUGCCAAGUUGCUCUCUACUCUGCUCGCAGCUUCACGCCUACUGCCUGCCCUUCUCUAUCCCCUUCUCGUGCCCUUCAGGCUUUUCCUCCCCUUGCUGAGCAAGGCCAUGCCCGGUAGCUACCCUUGAACCUCCUCCGCCUUUG
rnacentral:lncRNA from 7 species